UGCCCAUGGCACACCGCCCUGAGAGCGCCCGGUCUCGUCUGAUCUCGGAAGCAAAGCUGGGUCGGCCCCUAUUCCAUCCUGUCCAUGGGCAU
rfam:Taeniopygia guttata chromosome 2, whole genome shotgun sequence.